GACGAACGCUGGCGGCGUGCCUAACACAUGCAAGUCGAGCGAAGAAUACAUAAAGAAAUCUUCGGAUGGAAUUAUGUAUUUCUUAGCGGCGGACGGGUGAGUAACGCGUGAGGAACCUGCCUUGUACUAGGGGAUAGCCUCGGGAAACCGGGAUUAAUACCCUAUGACACUUGAAAGUCGCAUGACUUUCAAGUCAAAGCGAUUUAGCGGUACAAGAUGGCCUCGCGUCCCAUUAGCUAGUUGGCGAGGUAAUAGCUCACCAAGGCGACGAUGGGUAGCCGGCCUGAGAGGGUGAACGGCCACACUGGAACUGAGACACGGUCCAGACUCCUACGGGAGGCAGCAGUGGGGAAGUAUUGCACAAUGGAGGAAACUCUGAUGCAGCGACGCCGCGUGAGCGAUGAAGGUUUUCGUAAUCGUAAAGCUCUGUCCUAAGGGACGAUAAUGACGGUACCUUAGGAGGAAGCCCCGGCUAACUACGUG
rnacentral:rRNA from 1 species